rnacentral:rRNA from 1 species
AACGAACGCUGGCGGCAGGCCUCAUACAUGCAAGUCGAGCGGACGGACCCCUUCGGGGGCGAGUUAGCGGCGAACGGGUGAGUAACAGGUGGAUGAUCUGCCUCCCGGUGGGGGAUAACGGCUGGAAACGGCCGCUAAUACCGCAUUCGGUUGAUGCGUUGCGGCGCAUCAAAGAAAGGCGCUUCACGGCGCUGCCGGGAGAUGAGUCCGCCCCCCAUUAGCUAGUUGGCGGGAUAACAGCCCACCAAGGCUUCGAUGGGUAGCCGAACUGAGAGGUUGAUCGGCCACACUGGAACUGAGACACGGUCCAGACACCUACGGGUGGCAGCAGUAGGGAAUAUUGGGCAAUGGGCGAAAGCCUGACCCAGCCAUGCCGCGUGAGUGACGAAGGUCCUAUGGAUUGUAAAGCUCUUUUCUGAGGAAAGAACAUCCGGGGUAGGAAAUGACCCCGGUUGACGGUACCUCAGGAAUAAGGAACGGCUAACUCCGUGCCAGCAGCCGCGGUAAUACG